GACGAACGCUGGCGGCGUGCUUAACACAUGCAAGUCGAACGAAGUGGCAAACGGGUGAGUAACGCGUAAUCCACCUGACCUUCAGAGGGGGACAACAGUUGGCAACGACUGCUAAUACCGCAUACUGAAGGAGGGGAUUGCGUCUGAUUAGCUCGUUGGCGGGGUAACGGCCCACCAAGGCGAUGAUCAGUAGCUGGUCUGAGAGGAGGAACGGCAACAUUGGGACUGAGAACCGGCCCAGACUCCUACGGGAGGCAGCAGUGGGGAAUAUUGCGCAAUGGACGAAAGUCUGAGGCAGCAACGCCGCGUGAGUGAUGAAGGCCUUCGGGUUGUAAAGCUCUGUUAGUCGGGACGCGGUACCGGAAUAGAAAGCCACGGCUAACUACGUGCCAGCAGCCGCGUAAUAC
rnacentral:rRNA from 1 species